rnacentral:rRNA from 1 species
CUUGAACGCUGGCGGCAGGCUUAACACAUGUAAGUCGAGCGAGCGGCGGACGGGUGCGUAAUGUAUGGGGACUGCCCGAAAGAGGGGGAUAACUACUGGAAACGGUGGCUAAUACCGCAUACUAUCGGAUAACCCAUAGGGGAUUAGAUAGUCGGGGGGGUAACGGCUUACCUAGGCGACGAUCUCUAGCUGGUCUGAGAGGAUGAUCAGCCACACUGGGACUGUGACCCGUCCCAGAUUCCGACGGAGGCAGCAGUUGGGAUUAUUGCACAAUGGGCGCAAGCCUGAUGCAGCCAUGCCGCGUGUAUGAAGAAGGCCUUAGGGUUGUAAAGUACUUUCAGCGGGGAGGCGUUACCCGCAGAAGAAGCACCGGCUAACUCCGUGCCAGCAGCCGCGGUAAUAC